GUUGAGUGUUUAAGAUUUUUGAUUAAUUUAAAAUAUAAUUAUAUUAAUUAAUUUACUUAAAGUAUUUUAAAGAAAUAAUUUUCUUAUAAAACUGAAAAGGAAUUAAAGAUUUUUUUAAAAUAAAUUUGUUGUACCUUUUGUAUCAGGGUAAUUUAAUUAUUUUAAUUAUUUUAUAAUCUCGAAUUAAAAGGAUUUAUUAUUAUAGAAAUUUAUUUGUUUAAUAAAAUUUUUUAAUAUAGUAGUAGUAGUUAUAUGUUAAUCGGUUUUUAUUUAUCUAGUUAUUAAGGAAUUAAUUUAAUUAAGUAUUUUAUAGUAAAAGGUAGUUUCUUAAUUAGUAGUUAAAAUAUUAUAUUACUAGGGAUAAUCUUGGUAAUUUAGUUACAUAAUUUAUUUUUAUAUAGUUAUUUUCUUUAAUAUUUUGAUUUAAGUUUUUAAUAAAUUUUUAUAAAAUUAUAAGAUUUUUUUUAGGUUAAUUUAUUACUUAAUUUAUUAAUAUAUUUUUUAUUUUUUUUUAAUAAUGAUUUAAUUAGUAUAAUUUAAAAUAAUUUUUUUAUGAACUCGACAAUUUUAUCUUCCAACUGUUUAACAAAAACAUUUCUUUUUGGUUUUUAUAUAAAGUAUGUUCUGCUCUAUGAUUAUUUAAAUGGCUGCAGUAUUUUGACUGUACAAAGGUAGCAUAAUAAUUAGUUUUUUAAAUGGAAGCUGGGAUGAAGGAAUUAAUGAGAAGAUCAUUUUAUUAAUGUUUUUUUUAAAAUUUUAAUUUUAAGUAAAAAUGCUUAAUUAAAUUCUUGGGACGAUAAGACCCUAUAGAACUUAAUAAGGUUGUAUAAUAACUUGUUUUUAUUCUAUUUAACAUUUUAUUUAUAGUUUUAUUUAGCUGGGGUGGUUAAUAAAUUUGAACUUUAUUUUUUUAAUUCAUAUAUUUAUGUUAAUUAAGAUCAUUAAUUUGAUUAUAAGAAUAAGUUACCUUAGGGAUAACAGCGUAAUUUUAAUGGAGAGUUCAAAUCUAUAUUAAAGUUUGCGACCUCGAUGUUGAAUUAAGAAAAUUCUAAGAAGCAGUAUUUUUGGGGUUUAGUCUGUUCGACUAUUAAAUUCUUACAUGAUUUGAGUUCAAACCGGUGUGAGCCAGGUUGGUUUCUAUCUUAGAAUACUUAAAUCUUUUUAGUACGAAAGGACCAAAGGGUUAUAGGUUAACUAUAAU
rnacentral:rRNA from 1 species